rnacentral:rRNA from 1 species
GUGGGGGAAUAUUGCACAAUGGGCGAAAGCCUGAUGCAGCGACGCCGCGUGGGGGAUGACGGUCUUCGGAUUGUAAACCCCUUUCAGUAGGGACGAAGCGCAAGUGACGGUACCUGCAGAAGAAGCACCGGCUAACUACGUGCCAGCAGCCGCGGUAAUACGUAGGGUGCGAGCGUUGUCCGGAAUUACUGGGCGUAAAGAGCUCGUAGGCGGUUUGUCACGUCGUCUGUGAAAUCCCUCGGCUUAACCGGGGGCGUGCAGGCGAUACGGGCAGACUUGAGUACUACAGGGGAGACUGGAAUUCCUGGUGUAGCGGUGAAAUGCGCAGAUAUCAGGAGGAACACCGGUGGCGAAGGCGGGUCUCUGGGUAGUAACYGACGCUGAGGAGCGAAAGCAUGGGUAGCGAACAGGAUUAGAUACCCUGGUAGUCCAUGCCGUAAACGGUGGGCGCUAGGUGUGGGGUYCUUCCACGGACUCCGUGCCGUAGCUAACGCAUUAAGCGCCCCGCCUGGGGAGUACGGCCGCAAGGCUAAAACUCAAAGGAAUUGACGGGGGCCCGCACAAGCGGCGGAGCAUGUGGAUWRAUUYGAUGCAACGCGAAGAACCUUACCUAGGCUUGAC